UACCAGCUCAGCAGUGACCCAGCACAAGCCCAAAGAGUCACUUUGGUCUGCUCACUGACCGGGUUUUACCCAAAAGAGAUCACAGUAGAAUGGAAAGAGGACAACAUGCGUUUUGAAGGUUCACCAGCUGUGUGGGAUAUGCAGGGGGAAGAUAAGAAGUUCAACCAGACCAGCCAGGUGGACGUCAACCUUGAGAAAUGGCUUUCUGGCUCAUUGUAUACCUGCAAAGUUACGCAAAAUACAAAAUCACAAGAGCUCAACACCAGCUUUUGCAGAACUCAUCCCAUUUCUUCGCCGUCUCUGAAGUUGAAUAUUGAUGAAAGCAGUGGGGCUUUCACAGCGACCUGUGAAGUGUUUGCCUCCUACAAAAGCAAAGUUUUCUGGGUCUUGGACAAGAGUGAGUCUGAAUCAGCAGACUAUCGUGAACUUAAGGACUCCAAGAACAGAAUUCAGGGAUCUGUGCACAGCAGGACUUUCACCAAGGAUGAAUGGAAAUCCAUGAAGUCAAUUGCAUGUGAAGUCCGAAACAAAUGUUUCAGCCCUGUAAGGAAGACCUUUCCGAUAACAGCCCCGGCGCCCCCCUCCCCACCCCAAGCCGCCCUGCUGCAGUUCUCCGGGGGACUCGUUUGCCUGGUGCACGGGUUCAGUCCGGCCGCCAUCAACGUCACCUGGGUCCUGAACGGCGAGACGGAGCUGCCGGGGGCCAACGGCAGCGACUUGUACCGCGCGGCCGACGGGACCUUCACGCUCUGGAGCCACCUGCAGGCCUCCUGGGAGCCGGGCGCCACGUACACCUGCAGGGUGGCCCACACCACCAAGAGCCUCUCCCUCAGCAAGAGCCAGCCAGAGAUCAGCUCAGACAACGAGUACUUCAAUGAGAACACGCACGAGCCCUUGUCCGUAGACAGCCCCGAGGACAUCUGGAACACGGCCUGUGCCUUCCUCGUCAUCUUCCUCAUCACCCUCCUCUACAGCAUCUCUGUGACAUUAGUGAUGAUGAAAUAACAAGAGGAUCACAUACCCUAUGCAUCCUAUGGCACCAACAUUUUCUAUGGUGAAAUGCUUUGUGUUUUUCGAACCAACUGUCACUAAAGUGAUAUUCAGUUGAAUCUCUUUUUCAUUGUUAUUUGCCCUUUAGUUCACAGCUCUUCUCUUUAUUUGUCUAGUUCUGCUUUAAACUGCAACCUUAAUCGUCUUUAAUCUUGUUUUGUGAAAACUAAUCAGGUUACGUGUGCGUCUGUCAGAGGAAUCAUGCCAAUCAAAUUCAACGAUCAUACGCUAAGUUCUUUUGUGAGUGUUAGCUUUAUUUUAAACAGGUAGCUUUACUUCAAUUAAAACUGCUUUCAUGAGAAAACCUUCA